CGCUGGCGGCGUGCCUAACACAUGCAAGUCAACUUGACUGAAGGAGCAAUCUGACAGUAGAGUGGCGCAAGGGUGCGUAACGCGUAAGUAACUUGCCCAAGGUAAGGAAUAACGUCGAGAAAUCGGCGCUAAUACCUCAUAAUGCAGCGGAUCCGCAUGGAUAUGUUGUUAAAGGUUUACCGCCUUGGGAUAGGCUUGCGUCUGAUUAGCUAGUUGGUGUGGUAACGGCACACCAAGGCUACGAUCAGUAACUGGUCUGAGAGGAUGAUCAGUCACACUGGAACUGAGACACGGUCCAGACUCCUACGGGAGGCAGCAGUGAGGAAUAUUGGGCAAUGCUCGAAAGAGUGACCCAGCAACGCCGCGUGGAGGAUGAGGUAUUCUAUAUCGUAAACUCCUGUGAGAGCAGACGAAAGACAGAUUAUUAAUCUGGAUGACUGUAUGCUCAGAGGAAGCCCCGGCUAACUACGUG
rnacentral:rRNA from 1 species